GCCAUCUUGGAAUCUUGGAUUUUGAUAUUUGAUUAUUAUUCAUUCGAUUUUACUCGUGUCGGUCGUGUCAGUGUAUUAAGUUAAGUUGUUUUAUGUUCUAUUUGUGUCACUGCUAAUGUUUUUCAUCUUAUAAUUUACGAACGAUAAAAUCCUCAACUUUUCACUAACGAGGUUCCAGUGGCAAUGUUGAUGCAAUAGCACGGCUUCUCGUCAAGCUCAAUGAUCGUAUGAGAAACGUCGAAAAUAUCCAGAAAGAAAUUUUAGAGAGAUUGAGCCCAGAUAACUCAGAAAAAUCAAAUUUAUCGACACCAAUUGAUGUACCGUAACACUGCCUUGUGGUUCUGCACUGGAGGUUGAAUCUUUGGAUACAUGGCCAGCAAAUGAGGACAACGUUCUAACUUUGACAAAGCAUCUCAGUCUUAUUGGAGGCAAGAAACCGGCCAACGUAACCAGACAAAUUCUUGAAAGGCUCUUCACCAACGAAGUUGCUACCCAAAACAAUUGGACCGGGAAGAACAAAAAACUCCCAUUGAAAGAUCUGGCCAUUAUGAAAUUAUUAACAUGUUUCGUGAGGAAGAACAAAAAAAUGGAAGCAGUCUCCGAUGAUGAAGUGUAUUCAAUAGCAAGCCAGUGGUCUCGCUUCACCAAAGAUAGGGAAGGAGGGCGGGAAAGAAGAAGAUUGAAUGAUAGGCCUACCUAAGUUUGAAAUGGAUCUCAAACCCUCCCUACCAUUUAUUUUUAGUUACCGGCAUUUCUUAUACUGUUAGUAUUUUUUCUAGUGUUAUGAAUGUUAUGUUGUUGUGAAUAUUAUGAAUAUGUUAGACCAAAGGAUGUUUAAACAUGAGUUCUAAAAAAUGCCUUUUAUAUAAAUACCUCAUGUGUAUAGUUUUAAGGUUUUUUUAACUGUCAAAAUAUGUUAAAACAAUAAAAAUUUUAAAAUUUUCAUAAAUUCCCAAUAUUUGAGAAUCUUUCUGGCCUAGGUCCAAAGAAAUAUUCCCAUUUUAUAAGUUCCCUCCCACUGGGAAUAUUCCCGUCCCAUAUCACUAACUAUUUUGCAACAUGAACAUGUAUAUCUCAA